GACGAACGCUGGCGGCGUGCUUAACACAUGCAAGUCGAGCGGUAAGGCCCUUUCGGGGGUACACGAGCGGCGAACGGGUGAGUAACACGUGGGUGACCUGCCCUCAGCUCUGGGAUAAGCCCGGGAAACUGGGUCUAGUACUGGAUAUGACUCCAUGACGCAUGUUGUGGGGUGGAAAGCCUUGUGCGGCUGAGGAUGGGCCCGCGGCCUAUCAGCUUGUUGGU
rnacentral:rRNA from 1 species